rnacentral:rRNA from 1 species
AACGAACGCUGGCGGCAGGCCUAACACAUGCAAGUCGAGCGAAGCCUUCGGGCUUAGCGGCGGACGGGUGAGUAACGCGUGGGAACGUGCCCUUUGGUACGGAAUAGCCCCGGGAAACUGGGAGUAAUACCGUAUGUGGUCGAGAGACGAAAGAUUUAUCGCCAAAGGAUCGGCCCGCGUUGGAUUAGGUAGUUGGUGGGGUAAUGGCCUACCAAGCCGACGAUCCAUAGCUGGUUUGAGAGGAUGAUCAGCCACACUGGGACUGAGACACGGCCCAGACUCCUACGGGAGGCAGCAGUGGGGAAUCUUAGACAAUGGGGGAAACCCUGAUCUAGCCAUGCCGCGUGAUCGAUGAAGGCCUUAGGGUUGUAAAGAUCUCUCAGUGGGGAAGAUAAUGACUGUACCCACAGAAGAAGCCCCGGCUAACUCCAUGCCAGCCGCCGCAGUAACAC